GAUCUGGCUCAGGAUGAACGCUGGCGGCGUGCCUAAUACAUGCAAGUCGAACGAGGUAGCAAUACCGAGUGGCGAACGGGUGAGUAACACGUAGGUAACCUGCCCUUAAGCUUGGGAUACCCAGAGGAAACUUUGGCUAAUACCGGAUAACAACAGAGAAGGCAUCUUCUUUGCUUGAAAGGCCCCUUCAAGGGUCACUUAAGGAUGGACCUGCGGCGCAUUAGCUAGUUGGUGAGAUAACAGCCCACCAAGGCGAGGAUGCGUAGCCGAACUGAGAGGUUGAUCGGCCACAUUGGAACUGAGACACGGUCCAAACUCCUACGGGAGGCAGCAGUAAGGAGUUUUCGGCAAUGGGGGAAACCCUGACCGAGCAACGCCGCGUGAGCGAUGACGGCCCUAUGGGUUGUAAAAAGCUCUGUUGUAAGCCAUGAAUGACAGCUUGAGGAAAUGCAAGUUGUUUGACGACAGCUUACCAGAAAGCCACGGCUAACUACGUGCCAGCAGCUGC
rnacentral:rRNA from 1 species